CCGCACAAGCGGAGGAGCAUGUGGUUAAUUCGAUGAUACGCGAGGAACCUUACCUGGGCUCGAACGUAAGAUGACUGUAGGUGAAAGCUUACAUCUCUUCGGAGCAUUUUACGAGGUGCUGCAUGGUUGUCGUCAGCUCGUGCCGUGAGGUGUCGGGUUAAGUCCCAUAACGAGCGCAACCCCUACCUUUAGUUGCCAUCAGGUUAAGCUGGGGACUCUAAAGGAACUGCCUACGCAAGUAGUGAGGAAGGCGGGGAUGACGUCAAAUCAGCACGGCCCUUACGUCCAGGGCUACACACGUGCUACAAUGGCCGAUACAGAGGGCAGCUACCUGGUGACAGGAUGCAAAUCUCCAAAGUCGGUCUCAGUUCGGAUCGGAGUCUGCAACCCGACUCCGUGAAGUUGGAUUCGCUAGUAAUCGCGCAUCAGCCAUGGCGCGGUGAAUACGUUCCCGGGCCUU
rnacentral:rRNA from 1 species